rnacentral:rRNA from 1 species
AUUGAACGCUGGCGGCAUGCCUUACACAUGCAAGUCGAACGGUAACGCGGGGCAACCUGGCGACGAGUGGCGAACGGGUGAGUAAUGUAUCGGAACGUGCCCAGUUGUGGGGGAUAACUGCUCGAAAGAGCAGCUAAUACCGCAUACGACCUGAGGGUGAGAGCGGGGGAUCGCAAGACCUCGCGCAAUUGGAGCGGCCGAUAUCAGAUUAGGUAGUUGGUGGGGUAAAGGCCCACCAAGCCAACGAUCUGUAGCUGGUCUGAGAGGACGACCAGCCACACUGGGACUGAGGCACGGCCCAGACUCCUACGGGAGGCAGCAGUGGGGAAUUUUGGACAAUGGACGCAAGUCUGAUCCAGCCAUGCCGCGUGCGGGAAGAAGGCCUUCGGGUUGUAAACCGCUUUUGUCAGGGAAGAAAAGGGCGACUCUAAUACAGUUGCCUCAUGACGGUACCUGAAGAAUAAGCACCGGCUAACUACAUGCCAGCCGCCGCAGUAAUAC